UUUGGCAUUAACCAUGCCUCAUGACUGGGGAAGACUGCGUCGCGCCCCCUGGAGGUCAAGAUGAGUGUAUGCCCUCGUAAUGGGCCCAUUUGUUUGGCAAGCUCCUGAGAUGCAGCCUUCAUGCUAAUUGCAGAAGGAAGUAGUUUGUCCUGCUGGAGCACCCGUACAAAACGCGGCCCACCUGCCUGGGGAUUGGCUGUUGCCGUGGUUACAGUUUGUUUGGUUUCUCCAGGCGCUCUCUUCCACUAGAUGGAGGGAUUUAGCUGCUGGU